rnacentral:rRNA from 1 species
UACGGAGGGUGCAAGCGUUAUCCGGAUUCACUGGGUUUAAAGGGUGCGUAGGCGGGUAGGUAAGUCAGCGGUGAAAUCCCCGAGCUUAACUUGGGAACUGCCGUUGAUACUAUUUAUCUUGAAUGUUGUGGAGGUUAGCGGAAUAUGUCAUGUAGCGGUGAAAUGCUUAGAUAUGACAUAGAACACCCAUUGCGAAGGCAGCUAACUACGCAAAUAUUGACGCUGAGGCACGAAAGCGUGGGGAGCAAACAGG